rnacentral:rRNA from 1 species
UACGGGGGGGGCAAGCGUUGUUCGGAAUUACUGGGCGUAAAGGACGCGUAGGCGGCCUGCUAAGUCGGAUGUGAAAUCCCUCGGCUCAACCGAGGAACUGCAUCCGAUACUGGCGGGCUUGAAUCCGGGAGGGGGAUGUGGAAUUCCAGGUGUAGCGGUGAAAUGCGUAGAUAUCUGGAGGAACACCGGUGGCGAAGGCGGCAUCCUGGACCGGUAUUGACGCUGAGGCGCGAAAGCUAGGGGAGCAAACGGG